ACAGGAGGGACAGGGCAGGGGGACUGGGGGGUCUUGGAGGAGGGGGGGACUUUGGGGACCAUGAUGGGGGGAGGUGACAAAGGCCACCCCCCAGGGACAUCAAACCCGACAACAUCCUGCUGGACCGCUGGGGACACAUCCGGCUUGGGGACUUCGGCUCCUGCCUGCGCCUGGGGCCUGACGGCACCGUGCGCUCGGCCGUGGCCGUGGGCACCCCCGAUUACCUGUCCCCCGAGAUGCUGCUGGCCGUCGAGGACCCCUCGCGCUCCUACGGCCCCGAGUGCGACUGGUGGGCGCUGGGGGUCCUGGCCUACGAGAUGUUCUUCGGGAGACCCCCGUUCUUCGCCGACACCGUCCUCGAGACCUACGCCAAGAUCCUGCACUUCCAGGACCACCUGCACCUGCCGGAGGAGGAAGGCUCCGGCCCGGCCGAGGAUGAGGAGGGCGCCGAAGGCCCGCGGGCGGUGCCGGCGGAGGCGCGCGCGCUCCUGCGGGGGCUGCUGUGCGCGCCGGGCGCGCGCCUGGGCCGCGGGGGCGCGCGCGACUUCCGCGCGCUGCCGCUGUUCGCCGGGCUGCGCUGGCGCGCGCUCCGCCGCUGCCCCGCCCCCUUCGCCCCCAGCGCCGCCGGCGCCGCCGACACCUCCAACUUCGACGUGCUGGACGAUUGCCUGAGCCAGCCGGUGAGGAAGGGGUUAAACACGGGGUUAAACCCGGGAUAAACCCGGGAUAGACUGCCUGAGCCAGCCGGUGAGGAAGGGGUUAAACCCGGGAUAGACUGCCUGAGCCAGCCGGUGAGGAAGGGGUUAAACACGGGGUUA
rnacentral:lncRNA from 1 species